GCGGAUAUGGCGGAAUUGGCAGACGCGCUAGAUUCAGGUUCUAGUGAGCAAUAUCGCUCAUGCAAGUUCAAGUCUUGUUAUCCGCA
rfam:Eubacteriaceae bacterium CHKCI004 isolate CHKC4 genome assembly, contig: {contig72}